CCAGUCUUGACAUCUUUACAACCCUAGAGUAGGGUUCCCCUUCGGGGGCAGAGCACAGGUGGGCAUGGUGUCGUCAGCUCGUGUCGUGAGAUGUGGGUUAAGUCCCGCAACGAGCGCAACCCUUGAUCUUAGUUGCCAGCAUUCAGUUGGGCACUCUAAGGUGUAGGCCGGUGACAAACCGGAGGAAGGUGGGGAUGACGUCAAAUCAUCAUGCCCCUUAUGACGUGGGCUACACACGCGCUACAAUGGGCAGAACAAAGGGCAGCGAAGCCGCGAGGCUAAGCCAAUCCCACAAAUCUGUUCUCAGUUCGGAUCGCAGUCUGCAACUCGACUGCGUGAAGCUGGAAUCGCUAGUAAUCGCGGAUCAGCAUGCCGCGGUGAAUACGUUCCCGGGCCUUGUACACACCGCCCGUCACACCACGAGAGUUUGUAACACCCGAAGU
rnacentral:rRNA from 1 species